GUUGAAAUUUUCGGUGGGGACCUUUAGAGGGGUUGAAUGGAGAAAACUGUCGCAGCAAUUGAUGAAAUGAUUCGAUUUACGGGUUGGACGAAGGCGUUGUAGCGAAGCGAAAGUGUAUUGAUCAUUCCAUCAUUGCUGACGCGAUGCCACCAGAAAAGCUUUGUUCAAAUUGAACCACAGAAAGUCUGUGCAUCAUCAGAUUCUGGUUUGAAGCCUUCCAUGAAUUAGGUAGUUCUUCGAAAGAAACGUCACCUCGGGGCCAAUGGCAGACGUGCUCGCUUCACUCCAUUGAACAAUUACAAGAAUUUAUUUAUUCAGGAACUGAAAUAAUUGUUAAGAGGUACAAUUCGGGGGCAAUCGUAUCCCUGUGCAAGAUGUGAAAUUGGUACACCGCAGGGGGUCGCUCUAAAGCGAAAGUAUUUGUCAAGAAUCCCUUCACUAAUAAGGAAUGAAAGUCAGAAGUUUGAUGGCGAUGAAAUCCCCCAAGUUCUGGCCAUAAACUACGCCAUCUAGCAAUCAGAUGAGGUAUUGUUUCCUUGUCGGGGAGCUUUCCGGAAACAAAAGUCUCUAGUUUC
rnacentral:ncRNA from 1 species